GCCCAGGCAGUGGUGACUCUGCUCUGUGUCUAGGAAGGGUACAAAUAUUUGGGGGGUUCCCACCUCGGUGUUCCCGCUUUGGAGUUCUCCCCCCACCUGGAUAGGUCCUGCAGGAGGAGCUACUGGCGCCCUGCUCCCAAGGACCCUUUGUGCAGGCUCCGAGGGUCUUAGCGACGCUCCGAGGGCCUGUGCAGGAGGGCGAGGGGAGAGCGGCUGGAGCGCCCUGCUUGCCGGACAGCCUGGCUCACCCAUGCUGAACACAGCGUAGAGAUACAAACAACCAAAACCUCACAGCAGGUCGUUGCCAGUGCACUGAAGUAGAUGUCCUUGCAGACUCUUUGCUGAUCCUAAUUUGACAG